rnacentral:rRNA from 2 species
UUAAGCGACUAAGCGUACACGGUGGAUGCCCUGGCAGUCAGAGGCGAUGAAGGACGUGCUAAUCUGCGAUAAGCGUCGGUGAGGUGAUAUGAACCGUUAUAACCGGCGAUUUCCGAAUGGGGAAACCCAGUGUGUUUCGACACACUAUCAUUAACUGAAUCCAUAGGUUAAUGAGGCGAACCGGGGGAACUGAAACAUCUAAGUACCCCGAGGAAAAGAAAUCAACCGAGAUUCCCCCAGUAGCGGCGAGCGAACGGGGAGGAGCCCAGAGCCUGAAUCAGUGUGUGUGUUAGUGGAAGCGUCUGGAAAGGCGCGCGAUACAGGGUGACAGCCCCGUACACAAAAAUGCACAUGCUGUGAGCUCGAUGAGUAGGGCGGGACACGUGGUAUCCUGUCUGAAUAUGGGGGGACCAUCCUCCAAGGCUAAAUACUCCUGACUGACCGAUAGUGAACCAGUACCGUGAGGGAAAGGCGAAAAGAACCCCGGCGAGGGGAGUGAAAAAGAACCUGAAACCGUGUACGUACAAGCAGUGGGAGCCUCUUAAUGGGGUGACUGCGUACCUUUUGUAUAAUGGGUCAGCGACUUAUAUUCUGUAGCAAGGUUAACCGAAUAGGGGAGCCGAAGGGAAACCGAGUCUUAACUGGGCGUUAAGUUGCAGGGUAUAGACCCGAAACCCGGUGAUCUAGCCAUGGGCAGGUUGAAGGUUGGGUAACACUAACUGGAGGACCGAACCGACUAAUGUUGAAAAAUUAGCGGAUGACUUGUGGCUGGGGGUGAAAGGCCAAUCAAACCGGGAGAUAGCUGGUUCUCCCCGAAAGCUAUUUAGGUAGCGCCUCGUGAAUUCAUCUCCGGGGGUAGAGCACUGUUUCGGCAAGGGGGUCAUCCCGACUUACCAACCCGAUGCAAACUGCGAAUACCGGAGAAUGUUAUCACGGGAGACACACGGCGGGUGCUAACGUCCGUCGUGAAGAGGGAAACAACCCAGACCGCCAGCUAAGGUCCCAAAGUCAUGGUUAAGUGGGAAACGAUGUGGGAAGGCCCAGACAGCCAGGAUGUUGGCUUAGAAGCAGCCAUCAUUUAAAGAAAGCGUAAUAGCUCACUGGUCGAGUCGGCCUGCGCGGAAGAUGUAACGGGGCUAAACCAUGCACCGAAGCUGCGGCAGCGACACUAUGUGUUGUUGGGUAGGGGAGCGUUCUGUAAGCCUGUGAAGGUGGCCUGUGAGGGUUGCUGGAGGUAUCAGAAGUGCGAAUGCUGACAUAAGUAACGAUAAAGCGGGUGAAAAGCCCGCUCGCCGGAAGACCAAGGGUUCCUGUCCAACGUUAAUCGGGGCAGGGUGAGUCGACCCCUAAGGCGAGGCCGAAAGGCGUAGUCGAUGGGAAACAGGUUAAUAUUCCUGUACUUGGUGUUACUGCGAAGGGGGGACGGAGAAGGCUAUGUUGGCCGGGCGACGGUUGUCCCGGUUUAAGCGUGUAGGCUGGUUUUCCAGGCAAAUCCGGAAAACCAAGGCUGAGGCGUGAUGACGAGGCACUACGGUGCUGAAGCGACAAAUGCCCUGCUUCCAGGAAAAGCCUCUAAGCAUCAGGUAACAUCAAAUCGUACCCCAAACCGACACAGGUGGUCAGGUAGAGAAUACCAAGGCGCUUGAGAGAACUCGGGUGAAGGAACUAGGCAAAAUGGUGCCGUAACUUCGGGAGAAGGCACGCUGAUAUGUAGGUGAAGCGACUUGCUCGUGGAGCUGAAAUCAGUCGAAGAUACCAGCUGGCUGCAACUGUUUAUUAAAAACACAGCACUGUGCAAACACGAAAGUGGACGUAUACGGUGUGACGCCUGCCCGGUGCCGGAAGGUUAAUUGAUGGGGUUAGCGGUAACGCGAAGCUCUUGAUCGAAGCCCCGGUAAACGGCGGCCGUAACUAUAACGGUCCUAAGGUAGCGAAAUUCCUUGUCGGGUAAGUUCCGACCUGCACGAAUGGCGUAAUGAUGGCCAGGCUGUCUCCACCCGAGACUCAGUGAAAUUGAACUCGCUGUGAAGAUGCAGUGUACCCGCGGCAAGACGGAAAGACCCCGUGAACCUUUACUAUAGCUUGACACUGAACAUUGAGCCUUGAUGUGUAGGAUAGGUGGGAGGCUUUGAAGUGUGGACGCCAGUCUGCAUGGAGCCGACCUUGAAAUACCACCCUUUAAUGUUUGAUGUUCUAACGUUGGCCCGUAAUCCGGGUUGCGGACAGUGUCUGGUGGGUAGUUUGACUGGGGCGGUCUCCUCCUAAAGAGUAACGGAGGAGCACGAAGGUUGGCUAAUCCUGGUCGGACAUCAGGAGGUUAGUGCAAUGGCAUAAGCCAGCUUGACUGCGAGCGUGACGGCGCGAGCAGGUGCGAAAGCAGGUCAUAGUGAUCCGGUGGUUCUGAAUGGAAGGGCCAUCGCUCAACGGAUAAAAGGUACUCCGGGGAUAACAGGCUGAUACCGCCCAAGAGUUCAUAUCGACGGCGGUGUUUGGCACCUCGAUGUCGGCUCAUCACAUCCUGGGGCUGAAGUAGGUCCCAAGGGUAUGGCUGUUCGCCAUUUAAAGUGGUACGCGAGCUGGGUUUAGAACGUCGUGAGACAGUUCGGUCCCUAUCUGCCGUGGGCGCUGGAGAACUGAGGGGGGCUGCUCCUAGUACGAGAGGACCGGAGUGGACGCAUCACUGGUGUUCGGGUUGUCAUGCCAAUGGCACUGCCCGGUAGCUAAAUGCGGAAGAGAUAAGUGCUGAAAGCAUCUAAGCACGAAACUUGCCCCGAGAUGAGUUCUCCCUGACUCCUUGAGAGUCCUGAAGGAACGUUGAAGACGACGACGUUGAUAGGCCGGGUGUGUAAGCGCAGCGAUGCGUUGAGCUAACCGGUACUAAUGAACCGUGAGGCUUAACCUU